UUUAAUCCUGCCUCUACCAUAUGUAUGCUGUGUGACCUUGGGGCUUUCAAGAACUCCAGCCAGAUGGAACCGUUGAGGGUGAGCUGCAGACAUCAACCGAGAAACAGAAAGUACCAACCAGGACCAAGAGAGGAAUGCAAAACUCUGUGAGAACCCCCAACCCAUUGCGUCUUCUUGCCCAUGCCUGAUUCUGCUUCCUAUAGGGAAACUACCAGGCAAAGGUUCAAGAGGAGCAGCACUUUUCCUUUCCAGUCCUGGAAAGUUGGUGGUGAAAAAUCAGAGCCACAAUCUCAGCUUCCCAGCCCCAACCUCCUGCUCCAGCCUCAGCCCCAGCCCCAGCCCCAGCUGCUCCAGGAGUGAAAAGCCCCAAGCCUGGCAAGCCUGAGAAGGGGGACUAUGUAGAGUGGGGAGCCGGAUACGCUUCAUCAUCACUAGGAACCAAAUAAGAGGAAAUGGGCUUCAACUGCAGCACAGGGAAGAGAGGUUAGAUGGAAGGAUGGACUUCCUGACAAUUAGGAGUAUGAACUGCUGGUACCAGGGACCAAGGAAAUAGCCUUUCCUGGCUGUGUCAUAGGACAGCCUGUUCAGGAUGGUUUGGUUGUGGUCCUGGGUCUUAGGACAGCCUAUUCAGGAUGGUUUAGUUGUGGUCCUGUGUCUUAGGACAGCCUGUUCAGGAUGGGUUAGCCAUGGCCCUGCCUGGUGGCAGGUGGUUGGAUAGGAGGACAUUUCAAGGUCCUUUCAGCUUGACGAUUCCAUCAUGAUCCUAAAUUUGGAGGAUUUUUUUUUUUCCCUGAAGGAUCACUAGGGUCUCAAAGCAUUUUACAUGUAGGCACAACUGAAAUCCUACAAAAAAAUCUACCAGCCCACCACCACCUUAUCAGUCUACAACCAAUUUUUUCUACCAGUGUUCUGGGGCUUUCUUAAAUAGUUCAGGCCCAAUUCAAAGUGUGUGGGUGAGGGGUAAGAUUAAGGUGAUGGGAAGCAGCCCUACUCCAAUGGGCCUGAAAGAGAAGUGGAAUGGACUAGUAGAAAGACCUCAGGCUGGGAAUCAGGAGACUUGGGUUCUAAUCCCAGCUCUGUCAUUUGCCUGCUGUGUGACUAUUGACAACUCACUUAACCUCUCUGGGCCUCAGUUUCCUAAUCUGUAAAAUGUGGAUUAAAUAUCUCUCCU